CGAGGAGUUAAAUUAUUCCAGAAGGCCCGCCAGGGUCUGAUUUGCCACUGUCUGCUUCCUCGUUGCCUUUGAAUGGGACCCUUGAUCCAAGGCUUUCAGAGACCAGCCGGUGCUGAUGGGGGUCCGUGACUUGGCGGUGGCGCCUGUUUGCUCCUUCUCUGUCUCGAGCAUGGUUUUCUAUCCUGCCGGGGAGGGCGAGAGCGCUGGGCAGAGGUGGCACCUGACCCGCUAGAACUCCGAUGUCACUGCUGUGGCUGUUACUCCCCUCGGCAAGAGUCAAGGCGCACGCAGGACGUGAAUCCUGCAAUGGACUGACCUCAUCUUCCCGAGGCUGUGAUGUUUCAGGAGAGUUUCACUAUUGCUGACCAACUGAGACCACCAGAAGCUCCUAAGUGCAAAGAAUGGCUACAUCUUUUCUUCUGGAUACCACCAGAUCAUUCCAGCCACCUGCCUUUGUGGUGUCUCCAGACAAGGACUGACAACCAUCGAAGCAUCGAAACCCUAAGGCUACUUGGAGAGAAGAAGAAUGUCCCUGGAGAAGAGUCCUUCCUUGCCAUCUGGAUCUCCUAGCUUCCCCCUGAAGAGGAGAGAGAGAAAGAGCCAGCAGAUCUUCAAAAGGUGGCGAGUGGAGAGUGUAACAGAUCAAGAUUUGAGUGUCAUUCCUGUGGAAGACUUCUUUGGGACUCCUAAGGGUCAGGAUGCUGAUUUAGGGGGGUUACAGUGUGACCAAUUCUGGAAGACCAAAAAUCAUUCACAAAUGGAAAAUUAUAGGAGCAGAA
rnacentral:lncRNA from 1 species